CUUUGUAGCUGGCAAGAAUUUAUCUGCAGUAGUAAUAUGGUGCAAAGAAGUAUCUGACAUGGUUAACAUCAUCAAUAACCAUUACAGAUUGAGGUCAGAAUCAGCUCAGGCCUAAGAGUCACAGCUCCAGUCCUGCAAUUUGAAGUGUCACAACUUUUCAACUCAGCUGUGGAAGAUGGUGGUUAUAAGCAUUAAUAGUUAAUAAAAUUAUUAGUAGCCAGCAGCACAGUGCUCUGUGUCAGAAAUGUUCCCCCUCUCCUUGUCACCACUGGGCUUCCCUGUUUAUAUAUAUAUAUUAUAUAUUUAAGUUGAUUCCCUUGCUUAAUUAGCCAUUGGGCAGUUACUAUGGUUAUGGUGGAGAUUAAAAAAAUACUUACAUUUGGCAGAGGCCAGGAGCUGCUGUUGCUGUCUGUGUUACUUCCAAAAUAAAUGGUUUCUUGGUUCUUUCUCCUAAGGGCACUGUAACCCCACCCUCUCAGCCAAUGAUGGCCCCUGAAUAGAUAGGCCAAGAUCAUGCCUCCACUCAUGGACAGCCUGCACAGCCUAUUUACAAAUUAUAAAAAAUUUUUUAUCCCCAGUGGGGAUCUCCCCUCAGGAGAUUUCCCCCCAUUUUCUUUCUUUUCGAAUGUUAUUAGGCUUCAUCCCCAGAGUGGAUGGGUACCACUCACACUGACCACCCCUGACUGGAAUAUCUCCCAUACAGAGGUUAUUCGAUAUUUCUCCGUUGACAAUUUACAGCUCUGCAGUAUUCCUUCCAACCUGCUAUGAUAUAUUGUGAUAUAUAACAGUAGCUCAGCAUAUUAGCUGGCUGUUUAUAAUUUAUAGAUAUGCUAUACAUUAUUAUGCAUUGUAUAUUUGGUACCACUGUGCUGCAUUGUUGGCUAAUUAUGUGUGUAUUUUCAUUGUCUUAAGCUUUAAUUUUAUUGCUCUACACCAAGCAUGUCAAACCCGCAGGCCGCAUGCGGGCCACAAUGGACCUCCUUGUGGCCCGGCGAGCCGGGAGUACAUGCCUAGUGUAAAAGCAGAGUAGGCACCUGCUCGCCCCACAUUGAAGGCGCCUACUCUGCUAUCAUUUACCCGGCCGGAGGAGAGGAAGCCGGAUACAGGCGGCAACCAGGGAGCUCAGUGUUCCUGCUCCUCACUGCUCCCUCGCGCUGUCUGUAGUGAUGCAGAGCGCAGGAAUAUAAUGUCAUAUUCCAGCACCCGGCAUCACUAAACUACGCGCAAGGGAGCAGGAACACUAGGCUCCAGAUAGAAGAUCCCACUGGAUCCCAGGGAAUGAUGUGUGUCUGUCAGUGAGUGUGUGUCCGUGUUUUGAUGGCUGCGGCUGGACAGUGGAAUACCUUGAGGUGCACAGCAGCACGCCACGUCACAUUCCGACGUGAAGUCAAUGUGCUCCACCUUCACAGGGUUUCAAGAGGUAGCGGGAGGAUCCGCUUUGGCACAGGGUGCGAACAGUGCCUUUUGGGGAAUACCAGAGGCCGGACUCCGGAGUCGCAUACUGGCAGCAGCAAUGUUAGUGGAGUCUGCUUGUUGGCUAGAGGGGGGUGCUGUGAUUUAGUAGAGGGGGUUACGGUCUAAAAAUAAACCUAAGUUUCUAUGAAAAUUUAAUGUUUAUGUGGCCCGUGCUAGACUUUGAGUUUGACAUGCUUGCUCUAUACUAUUAAUAAAUAGUAGGCCUACUAAGAGCAGGGUUUACUGGCUCUUGUAAGUUUAUAUUGUAAAAGGAAGCAUGGCCAACUGCAAAAGUUUAUUUCUUUGUUUGGAUAACAAACUGUUGUCUAUUGCAUGGCUGUCUUAAUUGCAAAAUAACAAGCAGUAAUAAAUGCAACCCAAUUAGCUGUAUUUUAUAUGCAGUGAUAGGUACCUUGUAUGUGCCUUAUAUAAUCUGUGGCCUUCACUAUUACAAACCAUCCACUGUUCUAACAAAGUGCUUCUUAGAGAGGGAUAUACCAAAAAUAUAUUACAUAUAUAGUGGUGUGUUUUUUUUUUUUUUUAAAUGGCUGCCGCCUUCUGGGGUCUUUUUUGGAAUGUAAGUUUUAUCUACCUGUUCACCUAUGGCUGUGACAUCUUGACCCAAUGCACGCGCUUCAGCACCUGUCACUUUAUCUGCCCUGAGUCCACAGUUUGAAAGCAGUUUUAGAUAUAUCCCAAGUGAAGAAUUAUUAUUAUUUUUUAUUUUUUUUCAAAAGCAUAAUUAAAUGGUCAUUUGUGGUAUAUCUACUAAACGUUGAUUAUAAAAUGUUUUGUAUUUGGGUAGUGGAGUGUUUCUUUAAUAUGCUUCACAUGCCUUUGCAGCAAAUUUCCCUGAUCUUCAGAAACUGGAGAUCGUUGUACAUCUCUUGGUUUGAUAGAGUAAACACUAUUAA